AGUGGAAUUAGAUUCAUGCGUGAGUGUGGAGUGAAGAUUGGUAACUGAAAAAGAAAAGAGAGGGUUGAAUGGAGAAGAAGCUUACUCUCGUUCAGACCAUUGCUACUGCAGGCGUGUUCUCCGCCAUUUCUUUCUGGUAUGGCUUCAUGUUUGGCAGAGAAUCAUCUCGCAAAGAGCUCUCUCACCUAAUCGAAGAUCUCCGUCGCGGAACCCCUCCAUCUCCGUCUCCCUCUUCUUCUUCUUCACAUUCUUGAUUCGAUUCAGCCCUCCUUUUUUUCAAUUCAAUUUCAUUACCUACGCUCUGUCUCUUAUAAACUCACCACUUUUCCCUAACAAUUCUCUAAUCUAGUGGUUUAGGUUGGGGUUGCUUCUCAAUCCUUUAAUCUGCACAAACUGCUGUAUCUUUCCUUAUACAUUACUGUUCAAUCAUCUCUGCAUUAUUUCAGAUAAUCAUGUAAAAAAGUGCCCGGAUGAGUUCGUUUUAUAAUUUUAGUGAAUCCCUUCGUUUA